rnacentral:rRNA from 1 species
CAGCCGCCACGGUAAUACGGAGGGAGCUAGCGUUAUUCGGAAUUACUGGGCGUAAAGCGCACGUAGGCGGCUUUGUAAGUAAGAGGUGAAAGCCCAGAGCUCAACUCUGGAGUUGCCUUUUAGACUGCAUCGCUUGAAUCAUGGAGAGGUCAGUGGAAUUCCGAGUGUAGAGGUGAAAUUCGUAGAUAUUCGGAAGAACACCAGUGGCGAAGGCGGCUGACUGGACAUGUAUUGACGCUGAGGUGCGAAAGCGUGGGGAGCAAACAGGAUUAGAUACCCCAGUAGUCCCUGUCUCUUAUAC